AUGCGGGAGCAGCGCGCCCGCGGCGAUCCGCUUCUUGCCGGACUUGACAUCGGCGAGGUAUGCGUUGAAGCGCUCGGCGUCGUGCUUGAGGAAGAGGUCCUUGUAGUUCUUCAUGGCCACGGAGGCCACGCGCGUGUACACCACGGACUCCCAGGCGCGCGCCGAGAUGAACACCUCGGGGAGCUUAAGCGCGGCGCGGAGCGGCACGAUGGCCGCUCUGCGGAGGCGCUCGCGCGCGCGGUACGCGUAGUGCGCGUCCGGGAGGUCGUCGCCGAGCUCCGACGACGAGCCUCUGGGGAAGAGCCGCCGCGCGAUGGCCUCGCAGAGGAGGGUGGAGCGGUCGUAGGACGAGUCCAGCGACGGGCACCACUUGGCCGCGAGCGAGAAAUCCUUGACAUUGCCGACAGACAGCUUGCGCAUGUCCUCCGCGAGGAGCUCGGCGAACAGGUCGGCCGUGCGGUCGUGCAGGGACCGGUACGUGGAGUCGCGGCUGUACAUCUCCAACGCCCUCGCCGCGGCCUCCGCCCUCUUGGCCCGACGCGACAACGCGGCCGCGGCCGCGAGCCCCCUAUCACGCUCCAGGCUAGCCGCGACACGCUCCUCCGACGCGCCGACGGGCGGCGCGCGGUCCUCGCUGCGCGGCUUGCGGCCUCUCCCCCGCCCGCGGCCGCCGCGGCGUACGAAGCCGCCGUCCUCCGCUUCGCGGCGGGCCUUCUUGCCGGGGGUCCGGGUGGACUUGCCGCCGUGCACGAUGCGGUGGAGCAGCUCGGGCAGGUCCUUGAGGUAGCCGAAGGCGGCGACGGAGGCGGCGUUGCGCGCGAGCGUGGCCGGGUGGCGGGCGUGGAGCCAGAGCGCGGCGGCGUAAAAGCCCUCGCGGUCGGACUUGCCGGAGCCGCGCACGCCGCGGAGGUUGGCGACGAGGCGGAGCGCGGAGACCGGGUCGGCGGCCCAGGCGGCGGCGAGCAGCGAGGCGACGGAGGCGGCCGGCGUGCCGGGCACCACGUGGAAGAAGAAGUCGAGGCAGGGGUCCCCCGAGGACACGAACGUCGGCGAGGAGUUCUCCGUCAGCGCCUUCCCCGCCCCGACCGUCGCCUUGUUGAAGCUGGCGUCCAGCAGGUCGACGAACGUGUCGCCCGUUGGCGCCGCCGCGGCCGCGCCAAGUGCGGUCGCGGCCUCCGGCGGGCCGACCAGGGCGAAGCCGGCCAUCGGAAUCGGCGGAGUUUCUGA
rnacentral:rRNA from 1 species